rnacentral:lncRNA from 10 species
GGCUGUUGCUCAGCAUUCACCCAACAACAUUUUUGAUGCAUGAUGCAUAUGGUGCUAAAUGCUGGGAAUGCAAACCUGAUGUCUAUUUCAAAUCAAUAGGAGUACUUGAAGAUUCUCCCUGCUUACAAUGUAAACAUCAUGAAGAAAGAGAUGUGUUGGACUUGUUCAUCGCUAUAUUUCCUGGCUCAGAUCCUGGCACUGAGUAGACAUCAAGAAAUAUUUAAAUGAAUGAAAGAAUGAAUGAAUGAAUGAACGAACUGUGUCCUCUUGUAGAGCUGAGGGUGUUUUACCACUACCCUAAGAGCUGACACCAGGAGGUCUUGCUGCAAAGCCAGGCACUGUAUUCCACACUGUAUUUCCAUCAUCGCUUUUAAUGAGACUUCUUUGCAAAUAUGUAUGGUAUCUUUUAAAAUACCUGAUAACCAGCCAGCAGGGGUGGUCAGCUGCUACACUGGUAGCCACAAACAGAAUCCAAGACACAGAACUUCAUACGGUGUCACAGCUUCAUUUUCCAGGCUACAGCUCCCACUGCCCACAUCAGAACCAUCUGCAGGUCCAUAAGCUGUGAGUUUCUUUGGGAGUUGGGGGAGUGUCUUUUGGAUGUUUAUAACUUAUGCAUCUUAAUAUUGAAUGUGCACUUAAUACAUGGAACUUCAUAGUACUUGAUUUUUUAUGCAAAAAUGACUUAAUUAAAAUUUCUUGAAGAAACAUCAUAGAAUGAAUAUGGAGAUCACUUAAGUACCUUCCUGCUCUGUACAUAAUGAUAAAAUUCUGGUAGCUGAUCUAAAGCUAAGAAGAA